UGGGGAAUAUUGGACAAUGGGCGCAAGCCUGAUCCAGCCAUGCCGCGUGAGUGAAGAAGGCCCUAGGGUUGUAAAGCUCUUUCACCCGUGAAGAUGAUGACGGUAGCGGGAGAAGAAGCCCCGGCUAACUCCGUGCCAGCAGCCGCGGUAAUACGGAGGGGGCAAGCGUUGUUCGGAAUUACUGGGCGUAAAGGGCGCGUAGGCGGACCGACAAGUCAGGGGUGAAAGGCCUGGGCUCAACCCGGGAACUGCCUUUGAAACUGUUGGUCUUGAGUCCGGGAGAGGAUGGCGGAAUUCCCAGUGUAGAGGUGAAAUUCGUAGAUAUUGGGAAGAACACCGGUGGCGAAGGCGGCCAUCUGGUCCGGCACUGACGCUGAGGCGCGAAAGCGUGGGGAGCAAACAGGAUUAGAUACCCCCGUAGUCC
rnacentral:rRNA from 1 species